AAUUGGGGCGGUACGUCUGUCAAACGGUAAUGCAGGUGUCCCAAGGCGAACUCAGCGUGGACGGAAACUACACGUCGAGCAAAAAAGCUUGUUUGAUCUCGAUUUUCAGUACGAAAAGUGUGGCUGUUGG
rnacentral:ncRNA from 1 species